AGCCCCCUGACACCUGGAUGAUGUGGCGCACAACAGCCUUGAGCCUCAGGCCUCUCGCCUCUGAAAUGGAAGCCGCAGUUGGAUGGAAACACUCUAAUGGGGGAUGAAGGCGCUUGUCCAGGGAGAAAGCACGUGCCGGGUUAACUACAGAAGCCUACUUCAGCUCAAGCUCAAAAUGUUCCUCCCUCCUCCAAACCCAGGGAUGCUUCUUGGUAUUGGGGAAGGGGCAUCCUAAGUUCUAGAGCCAGGGGUUCCUCACCAGUGGGGCAGGAGCAGUUGGGGUCCAUUUGGAGGCGAGGUGAGGCCGGGGGUCCAAAGCAAGUGGCGAAGAAGAGGGUCUUGGGCCGGUUGGGGGCGUGUUGGAACUUAGCAGCCGGCGGGUCAGUUUAUACCCAGAGGAGGCGGCCCGGGCGCAGAGGCCCCGCCCCCGCCUUGCACGCGGCGCGCGGAUCUGCGCCUGUGCAGCCGGCAGCCCCCGUUCCGGCUGUGCGCAGCCGGGCGGGCCGAGCGCAGGGUUCCGUGAGCGAGGAUUGGGUCGGUGUGCAGCGCUGCGGCCGCCCCUUUGGCGCUAGAACUCACGGAGGGACGGUGUGCCGGGCGGCUCUCGGUUUCUCAGCUUCCCUGCCCGCCCCUUCCCAAAUUUCCCAAGACUUCAACCUGAAAGCGUGUGAAGCUGAGUUCCUAGAGCCUUUGUCUCCAUGAGAAAGAGCCUGAGAAUAAAUUUAUUGUAAAGGAAAUGGAGCCUGACAAUAUCAUUGGAGCACCUGGAGCCAGCCAAGCCUGAAGCCACUGAUAUUUAGCUUGUUUUGAGGCUUCUGCUGAUACCAACGAUGGGACAGUGAACUUCCUGGGUUGAAGGUAGAAUCUGCGUGUUCCCUUUUAUCAAGGACUGUACCACAACUACUGUGGAUUGAAGCACUCAUUACCCUACUUCCCCUUGAAGAGGGAAGGAGCUGGACACAAACUACCAAAUGAGAAGGCUGAGACCGUGCGAUAUUCUCCAAAGAAAUGAAGUAACCAGUCUAACAGGGGCCAAGCUCCCACGUGAGGGACAGAAGAGGGCCCUUCUUGUUUUGACGCUGAGGCACAGGCAAGAACUUGCUGUCAGCUGCCUACCUGGGCACGCUAGAAGCAAGUCCGCCAGCCAACAAGUCUAACUAGCAUGCACAGAGCCUGCUUUCAGCUCAAAGAAGCAGAAAUAGCUCAAGAAACUAUCA